AUUGAACGCUGGCGGCAGGCCUAACACAUGCAAGUCGAGCGGAUGAAGGGAGCUUGCUCCUGGAUUCAGCGGCGGACGGGUGAGUAAUGCCUAGGAAUCUGCCUGGUAGCGGGGGAUAACGUCCGGAAACGGGCGCUAAUACCGCAUACGUCCUGAGGGAGAAAGUGGGGGAUCUUCGGACCUCACGCUAUCAGAUGAGCCUAGGUCGGAUUAGCUAGUUGGUGGGGUAAAGGCCUACCAAGGCGACGAUCCGUAACUGGUCUGAGAGGAUGAUCAGUCACACUGGAACUGAGACACGGUCCAGACUCCUACGGGAGGCAGCAGUGGGGAAUAUUGGACAAUGGGCGAAAGCCUGAUCCAGCCAUGCCGCGUGUGUGAAGAAGGUCUUCGGAUUGUAAAGCACUUUAAGUUGGGAGGAAGGGCAGUAAGUUAAUACCUUGCUGUUUUGACGUUACCAACAGAAUAGGCACCGGCUAACUUCGUG
rnacentral:rRNA from 1 species